rnacentral:rRNA from 1 species
UACGGGGGGGGCAAGCGUUGUUCGGAAUUACUGGGCGUAAAGGGCGCGUAGGCGGCCUUCUAAGUCGAACGUGAAAUCCCCGGGCUCAACCCGGGAACUGCGUCCGAUACUGGAAGGCUUGAACCCGGGAGAGGGAUGUGGAAUUCCAGGUGUAGCGGUGAAAUGCGUAGAUAUCAGGAAGAACACCCGUGGCGAAGGCGGCUCUCUGGGACGGUACUGACGCUGAGACGCGAAAGCGUGGGGAGCGAACAGG